rnacentral:piRNA from 1 species
UGAGGAAUACAACGGUGAACACAAGGGC